rnacentral:lncRNA from 1 species
CAGAGACGUCCCGUGGUGACGAAAGUUGUAUGCUAUAUGCCCCGACGGAGGUGCGUCAGCCUGUGACCAACUGGGAAAGCAGAUGCAGCUCGCCUCAAAGAAUUGCCUCAUUAGCAUGCACGAGCUACUUCAAAGCCUGAGACUGGAGGACAAAUAAACGAGCCUGCGGGUGGAAUGCAUGUUCACAA